rnacentral:rRNA from 1 species
GGCCUGCGGAAGGAUCAUUAUCAAAACAGCGGACUUCGGUCCUUGCUGCACCCUUGUCUUUUGCGUACCGUAUGUUUCCUCGGCGGGCUUGCCUGCCGGUUGGACAUUAUCAAACCUUUUUGUAGUUGCAAUCAGCGUCAGAAAAUAAACAAUAAUUACAACUUUCAACAACGGAUCUCUUGGUUCUGGCAUCGAUGAAGAACGCAGCGAAAUGCGAAAAGUAGUGUGAAUUGCAGAAUUCAGUGAAUCAUCGAAUCUUUGAACGCACAUUGCGCCCCUUGGUAUUCCAUGGGGCAUGCCUGUUCGAGCGUCAUUUUGUACCCUCAAGCACUGCUUGGUGUUGGGCGUUUGUCCUGCAAAGGACUCGCCUGAAAGCGAUUGGCGGCCAACGUACUGGUGGUAGAGCGCAGCACAAUUUGCGUCUCUCCCUUCUACGUCGGCGUCCAUGAAGCCUUUUUUCAACGUUUGACCUCGGAUCAGGUAGGGAUACCCGCUGAACUUAAGCAUAUCAAGGCUG